CACAUCGUUCAACUGACUGCAACUUUCAACUGACGAACAUCCGCUGCUUUUACAGGUUCUGUGACAAACACCAUCUAACAGAUAAGGCUCCUGAAAAGUCAAAGUCAAUAGUGCUUCCAUUGAAAAUUUAAUGCUGGUUCCAUCUUUGCCCAUCAUUCUUCCCCCACCACUGUUGCAUGCAUCCCAGGAGGCACUUCAAGCAAAAGCACUACUCCAUAACAGAGGAAGAUGUUUCAUCUCACAGCAGGAAUAUACAACUGACUCAGAAGAAACUCAAGGCACACUUAUUGCUAAAGGCCUGCAUGUUCUUCAGAUGCAGAAGGAGAGAAAGGAAACCAAGUCCUGGCACAAAGACAAAAACAAAAAACAAAAGCAUGCCUACUGGGAUCUGGAUUCACCAGCAAGAAGAGAUAUAAACUCCACACCAAGUCCAUAGCCAUGAUAGGUUACAGAAAAUGUAAAGCAGAGGAGGAAGGGGAGGGAGCAAGUCAAAUAUGGACAAGAUAAUUUGUUAGGCUUGUACACCAAAAGACCAAGUAGAUAUACAGCAGAUAGAAAGCAAGAAAGCAGGUCAGGUAGCAGCAAAUCAUGCUGCUAUGAGAGAUGGGCACGUCUGUCAUUCCUGAUCUCAUCUGAGGUUCUUGUUUUUCCCCCAUGCAUUGUUUUUCCUCCACAGACAUCCUUGCACAUUUUUGUACAACAGUUUUUCUGAACAUCUGCAUUUUUCACAAUUUUACAUAUUUUUUAGAUUCAUUUCACAAUGAACUACAGCAUGUUUGUACAAAUUUCAGAAACCUGAACAUAGAUGUGUCGAUGAGUGCAUUUUUGGUAUUGCAAAAUAUAUCACAAACUCAUAAAUGUUCACAUGGCCUACAGCAACUUGUGUUUGGGUCUGCCUUGAAUACCUGGAGGAAUGAUUGGGUGAAUCCAUCUUUAAAAAUCCAUUCCUUCACUCUUCUUCCUAUUUGCUCCAAGCAGAAAACCAAAAAAUCAUAUAAAACAUGUAGCCCACCAUCCAACUGUGAGCAACACUGGCCAAAUGAGCAAUCAGCAAAAUCUUUAACUACUGUUUCUAAAAGACAAGAGCUACUUGAUGAUGAUAAGGCAUUCAUAACUUUGGUCUGCAGUAAUAUGCUUGAGCCAAGCAGCCCUCAUAGAUAGUAUCUCCCAAUCACAGCUUGAAUCUAAUUACAUGUUGUGUUCAUUCCAUUCAUCUUCUUGUGUCAUUUGGUUAUUUCACCCAGUUCGGUCAUCCAUUCAAUUUACAGGAAGGGAAAGGGGGUACAGAAGACUUGACUUGGAAACACAUACGUAUAUUCAUUUAUGCACGCACGCGCAUGCGCGCACACGCACACACACAAUCCACACAGUGGAAAGACUUUGCAAAUAAACUUUGCAGCUAGACAUUUUUCAAAGCUACAUUCAAUGGGAACUGGGUUGCAGUCUUCAAGUAUUUCUCAGUGUUCUCAAAAAUCAAAAGGGUGGCAAGAGACAGCAACAAUGAGCCCUUCCUGGAAAAACUUCCAACAUUCUACACUUUAAGAAUCAAAGAGUUUUCUGAUCUCAAAGCUAUCAGGGUCAUGGUAUGUGUCUGUGGUUCAAUAAUAAUAAAAAGAAAACUAGCUUUUUGUAACACAAUGAAUACUGAGUCAAUAUCAUGUCAAAUGGCUCCUUUCCCUCAUCUUUAAUUUGAACCAAAGCAUAAUGAAUGCAUCAUAUCCAUUGCCACAAGAUGUGGUGAUAGACACUGACACAGAGACUUCUCAGAGGAUUAGGCAAAUUUAUGGAAUUGAUGGAAGAGGUCUCAAUGAAGAUAGUAAGCAUCGUUGGCCUGUAUGUUUUGCAUUCCAGAUUCAAAAGGAUCAAGAGGCAAAGGAUGGACAAAACUUUUGUCUGAGAGUCUACAUCACAGUAUAUAAAGAUUACUUUGUUGGACUACGACUCCCCAAAUACCUCAGUCUACAUGGCUAGUGCCAUGCUGGCUAGGAAAUCCUGUCUAACAGAUACAGUCUAACAAAGUAACUUCCUCAACCUCUCUUCCAGAUAUACAAUACAAUUCAGUAUAGACGAUAUGAAAUUGGAAGGCAAUAGUCUCUUGUGAUAUAAAGCAGGAGUUUCCCAUGGCUGGCAUCCACUAAGGGACAUAUGCAUGUGUAAGUCAUGCUAUACAUCUAGGGUCAAAAAGACACUAUUGUGCAACAGCCAUAUUCUGCUGAUAACAACAGAGGCAGAGUUGCAUAGACAGCAUGUCUCUCCAUACCUUAUCUUUGCACAUUGCAGUUCAGCAUUGUGCAUUGCAUAUUGCCAUGGAGUGUCAUGUAUUGUACAUUGUACUUUACAGUUGUGUGUCAUAUAUAGUGCAUUGCAUUUGUGCAUCAUAUAUUGUGAGUUUAGGGUGUGUGUCAUAUAAAACAUCACCCAAGGAGACUUUCUGCUGUGCAUUCUGCAACUGGACCUGUUUGUCCCGGAUUGGCCUUUUUAGUCACCAACACGCUUGUACAAAGCAUGGGAUGUGUCCUUCCUGAAUCUUCGUUUGCGAAGCAAAGCCAGAGAGAGAGAGAGAGAUUGUGAAACAUACAUUGUGUAUUGCCCAAUGCACAAAAUGUAGUCAUUGACAUGUGUUGCACAAUGUUGCUAUUCUGUAUGAAGAUUGCUCAAUUGGUGUGUCUCCGUGAAUGUUUACACUACACUGUGAGACUGUUGGAUUGCAGUCUAUGUCUGUUAUUAGUUAUAGGGGAUCAUUAUGAUCUGGGGAGCAUGAUUUUAUAUUUUUGAUUUAAGUCAGUAUGUCUCAAAGCAAGCAAACCUGACAUUCAGGGAUUACAUAGUAAAAUGACCAGGUUAACCACAUGGGUGGGUUAUUCCACCCAAAGAAAGACACAGACACAUACAAAUUCUCACAUCCAGAUA